CACGGGGGGAGCAAGCGUUGUUCGGAAUCACUGGGCGUAAAGGGCGUGUAGGCGGUCAGGCAAGUGGGACGUGAAAUGCCUCGGCUCACCCGAGGAGCGGCGUCCCAUACUGCUUGGCUUGAGUACGGGAGAGGAUGUGGGAAUUCCUGGUGUAGCGGUGAAAUGCGUAGAUAUCAGGAGGAACACCGGUGGCGAAGGCGCACAUCUGGCCCGAUACUGACGCUGAGGCGCGAAAGCUAGGGGAGCAAACGGG
rnacentral:rRNA from 1 species